GGCCUUAUAGUGUAGUUGGUCAUCACAUGGGACUUUGAAUCCCAAGACCCCAGUUCGAAUCUGGGUAGGGCCU